UACGGAGGGGGCCAGCGUUGAUCGGAAUUACUGGGCGUAAAGGGCACGUAGGCUGGCUGUUAAGUCGGGGGUGAAAUCCUGAGGCUCAACCUCAGAAUUGCCUCCGAUACUGGUAGGCUUGAGUGCAGGAGAGGUGAGUGGAAUUCCCAGUGUAGAGGUGAAAUUCGUAGAUAUUGGGAAGAACACCAGUGGCGAAGGCGGCUCACUGGCCCUCAACUGACGCUGAGGUGCGAAAGCGUGGGGAGCAAACAGG
rnacentral:misc_RNA from 1 species